rnacentral:rRNA from 1 species
GACGAACGCUGGCGGCGUGCUUAACACAUGCAAGUCGAACGAAGAGCGACGGAAGCUUGCUUCUAUCACUCUUAGUGGCGAACGGGUGAGUAACGCGUAAUCAACCUGCCCUUCAGAGGGGGACAACAGUUGGAAACGACUGCUAAUACCGCAUACGAUCUAACCUCGGCAUCGAGGAUAGAUGAAAGGUGGCCUCUACAUGUAAGCUAUCACUGCAGGAGGGGAUUGCGUCUGAUUAGCUAGUUGGAGGGGUAACGGCCCACCAAGGCGAUGAUCAGUAGCCGGUCUGAGAGGAUGAACGGCCACAUUGGGACUGAGACACGGCCCAGACUCCUACGGGAGGCAGCAGUGGGGAAUCUUCCGCAAUGGACGAAAGUCUGACGGAGCAACGCCGCGUGAGUGAUGACGGCCUUCGGGUUGUAAAGCUCUGUUAAUCGGGACGAAAGGCCUUCUUGCGAAUAGUGAGAAGGAUUGACGGUACCGGAAUAGAAAGCCACGGCUAACUACGUG